GAGUCUCAGGCAACUGAGGCUCAUUAAACAAACGCUUAAAUAUACAGAGAAGAUUAGCAUGGUCUCUGAGCAAGAAUGACACGCAUAAUCGAAGAGAAGCGAACCUUUUUU
rnacentral:snRNA from 1 species